UACGGAGGGGGCAAGCGUUGUCCGGAAUCACUGGGCGUAAAGGGCGCGUAGGCGGCCUGGUAAGUAGGGGGUGAAAUCCUGCGGCUUAACCGCAGGGCUGCCUUCUAAACUGUCAGGCUUGAGCACGGUAGAGGCAGAUGGAAUUCCCGGUGUAGCGGUGGAAUGCGUAGAGAUCGGGAAGAACAUCAGUGGCGAAGGCGGUCUGCUGGGCCGUUGCUGACGCUGAGGCGCGACAGCGUGGGGAGCAAACAGG
rnacentral:rRNA from 1 species